rnacentral:rRNA from 1 species
GCGAGUGAAGCGGGAAGAGCUCAAAUUUAAAAUCUGGCGUGCCUCUGGUCGUCCGAGUUGUAGUCUGGAGAAGCGUUUUCUGUGUUGGACCGUGUAUAAGUCUCUUGGAACGGGGCGUCAUAGAGGGUGAGAAUCCCGUCUUUGACACGGACUACCGACGCUUUGUGAUGCGCUCUCAAAGAGUCGAGUUGUUUGGGAAUGCAGCUCAAAAUGGGUGGUAAAUUCCAUCUAAAGCUAAAUAUAGGCGAGAGACCGAUAGCGAACAAGUACCGUGAGGGAAAGAUGAAAAGCACUUUGGAAAGAGAGUUAAACAGUACGUGAAAUUGCUGAAAGGGAAACGCUUGAAGUCAGUCAUGUCUGCCAGGACUCAGCCUCGCUUCUGCUUGGUGUACUUUCUGGUCGGAUGGGCCAGCAUCGAUUUUGACCGUUGGAGAAAGGCUUUGGGAAUGUGGCACCUUUGGGUGUGUUAUAGCCCUUUGUCGUAUGCAACGGUUGGGAUCGAGGACCGCAGCAUGCCUUUAUGGCCGGGGUUCGCCCACGUACGUGCUUAGGAUGUUGGCGUAAUGGCUUUAAGCGACCCGUCUUGAAACACGGACCAAGGAGUCUAACAUGCCUGCGAGUGUUUGGGUGGAAAACCCAUGCGCGUAAUGAAAGUGACAGCUGAGAUCCUCUCAUCAGGAGCAUCAGCGUCUGGACUCGAUCUACGGAGACGGUUCUACGGUAGAGCAUGUAUGUUGGGACCCGAAAGAUGGUGAACUAUGUCUGAAUAGGGUGAAGUAGAGGAAACUCUGGUGGAGGCUCGUAGCGAUUCUGACGUGCAAAUCGAUCGUCAAAUUUGGGUAUAGGGGCGAAAGACUAAUCGAACCAUCUAGUAGCUGC